CUCCGAUGAUGAUCCAGCCAUGCUAAUACCGAUGCACCAGGCGGACACGUUUUGUCUGCCUGGGUGCGAGUGAGUGCAACUCACCUUCUCACGCUGAUGUGA
ensembl:snoRNA